GGGUACAUGGUCUAGGGGUAUGAUUUUCGCUUCGCACAGGCGAUAUUGUGAAAGGUCCUGGGUUCAAAUCCCAGUGUAUCCA